rnacentral:lncRNA from 1 species
CAAGUUACAGAUGUCCAGACUCCAAAUGCCAGUUCCUUCUGGGUGUUCAGCCACUGUGUUAAUCCUCUGUGGGGACCUGCUACUCGCUGCUCUGGUGAGGUGUUCCGCCAGGGCAAUUUCCUACCUGGGAGCACUCUUUGGAUCAUGUAACUCAGGCUGGCUGGAGUCCCCCGCAGAGAUGCUCCACAGGGCAGGCUUAAGCCACCUGAGGGGCUGCCUCAGCUGCCCAUCAGUUACCUCAUUUCCCAGUCAGAGAACCAAGAAAUGUAGCAGGACAAUCCGCAGAAAAAAACCUCUCAGACACUGAGUUGUAGAAGGAAGGGCUUUAUUCAGCUGGGAGCAUCAGCAAGCUACUGCUUUAAAAUCCGAGCUCUCCAAAUGCACGAUUUCUGUCCUUUUUAAAGGCUCACAACGCUAAAGAUUUCACAUGAAAGGGUCAGAUUGAUUUGAACAAGCAAGGGGUAUGUGACAGGGGCUGCAUGCACCAGUGGUCAGGGAGGAACAGAACAGGGCGGGGAGUUUCACAGUGUUCUUCUAUACAAUGUCUGGAAUCUAUGAAUAACAUUGAUUUUUAAGUUAUGAGUUGAUUUUUAACUACUAGGUUUAGGCCAGGCAGGCCCAGGGCUGGUUUUGGGCCUGGCGCCAGGCUGCCUGUCUUUGAUUUCACUUCCUUGUUUUUUUCUUAAAACAGGUACUGAGUAUAAAACAAUAAAACAAUAUGAGAGGGUCUCUCUCUUCCCUCACCAGAGGGGGCCAAAGUUUUAUGAGACAUCUCCUCAUCUGUGCACAGAUGGGUGGCGGACUCUGGAGUCCAGGCUGUUGCUUCCCAUUCUAGUGGUGAAUCUUCCAUAGUCUGGUAUUGUUGUCUCUAACCCAGACCUGAUCACCUGGCUACAGCAAGGAAAAGAAACUUUGACCAUGAAGAGACAGGUGAUGAUUGCCAAACACACAGAUGGACUCACAGCCUGUCACCCAGGCUGGAGUGCAGUGCUGCAAUCUUGGCUCACUGGAAACUCCACAUCCUGGGUUCAAGCAGUUUUCAUGCCUCAGCCUCCCAAGUAGCUGGAAUUACAGGUAUGUGCCACCACACCUGGCUAAUUUUUGUAUUUUUAUGUGAGAUGAGGUUUCAUCACGUUGGCAAGGUUGGUCUUAAAUUCCUGACCUCAGGUGAUCUGCCCGCCUCAGCCUCCCAUAGUGCUGAGAUUACAGAUGUGAGCCAAUGCACCCAGCCUGACAAAUUCUUUUUAAUGAUACAUCAAUGUUGCAUACCAGGUUUUAUGAGUAAACUCUUCUCUUAUUAUUGUUUUGAAGUUUCACAUUAGUGUGUUUCUUUAAUGAAGGUUUCUGUUUUUUUGGGGGGGACAGAGUCUCACUCUGCUGCCCAGGCUGGAGUGCAGUGGCAUGAUCUCAGCUCACUGCAACCUCUGCCUCCCAGGUUCAAGCAAUUCUUCUGCCACAGCCUCCCAAAUUGCUGGGACUACAGGCUUGUGCCACAACAUCUGGCAGAUUUUUGUAUUUUUCAUCGAGACAGGGUUUAACCGUAUUGGCCAGGCUUGUCUCGAACUCCUGACCUUGUGAUUCAUCUGCCUCCGCCUCUCAAAGUGCUGGGAUUACAGGCGUGAACCCCCGUGCCAAGCCUCAUUUAUAUUUCAAAUAGGGUCUCACUUGGUUAACCAGGCUGAUUUGCAGGGCUCACUGCUGCCCGAACCUCCCAAACUCAGAUGUUCCUCUCACUUCAGCUUCUCAAAUAGCUGGGUUACACAUUUUUGCCGUCACACCCAGCUUGCUUUUUUGUAUUUUUUGUAGAGACAGAGUUUUGCCAUUUGCCCAGGCUCCUGUUGAACUACUGAGAUCAAGUGAUCAGCCCACCUUGGCCUUCCAAAGUCCUAAGAUUACAUUUCAUUUUAUUAAGUAGUUUAAUUAAUUUAUAUUUAAAAUAAUUGCUUAAAAAAUGAAGUUGUUAUUACCAGUUAUACUGUUAUUGUUUUAUGUGUUUCUAGUAGUUAUAUUUUUCUCAUUUUCUGUUUUACUUUCUUAAUUUUCACUUAAUCUUGUACUAGCAUGCUUUGAUUAUAUUUUGUUUUCUUUUGCAUACUUUCUAUAAAUAUUAUCUUUGUAAUCAGCUUGAAAACUGAAGAUUACAUACACCUUAAAGUUAAAAAACAAUAUAUUUUAAUCUUAUAACGGCCUCCAUUGAAUACAAAAACUAUGCUUCUGUAUUUUCCAGUUUGUUGUUAAUAUUAAAAUUAUUAUUAUUAUUUUUUGAGAUGGAGUCUCCCUCUGUCGCCCAGGCUGUAGUGCAGUGGCACGAUCUUGGCUCACUACAACCUCCGUCGCCCUGGUUCAAGGGAUUCUCUGCCUCAGCCUCCUGAGUAGCUGGGAUUUUAAGCUCCUGCCACCACGCCCAGCUAUUUUUGUUUGUUUUAGUAGAGAUGGGGUUUCACCAUCUUGACCAGUCUAGUGUUGAAUGCCUCACCUAGUUUAUAUGGUGUAUCUAUUCACAGAUUUAUGCGGAUUUACAUAUUGUUUUUUAUAUUCCAUAAAAGCACUUUAAAGGUUUUAUGUACCAUCAUUUUGGUUUUUUUGUUUUGUUUUGUUUGGUGUGGGAUUAUUUUUUUCAGACUGAGUCUUGCUCCAUUUCCCAGGAUGGAGUGCAGUGGUGCGAUCUUGGCUCACUGCAACCUCCACCUCUCGGCUUCAAGCAAUUCUUCUUCCUCAGCCUCCUGAGAGGCUGGGAUUACAGGUGCCUACCACCAUGCCCUGCUAAUUGUUUGUAUUUUUAGUAUAGAUGGAGUUUCACCAUGUUGGCCAGGCUGGUCUGGAACUCCUGACUUCAAGUUAUCUGCCCGCCUCAGCUUCCCAAAGUGCUGGGAUUACAGGUGUGAGCCACCACUUCCAGCCUGUACCAUCAUUUUGAUAGUAAAGAAUUCCAUAUGUGUCCAUUUAUUUACAUUAGUGUAUAGCUUUAUAUUUAUAUAUGUUUUUAUGAUGCUGUCCAGGGUCAAUUUGUGUUUCAACAUAAUGGACACAUUCUAACAUUUCUGUAUUUUUAGAUAUAGAAUCUCAUUAUGUUGUUCAGGUUGAUGUUGAACUUUUGGUCUCCAGUGAUAUGACUGCUUUGGCCUCUGAAAGAUGUAGGAUUACAGACAUGAACAAUUGUGCCUGAGCCUCUUGUAGUAUUUUUUUUUACUUUUUUUUUUUUUUGAGACGGAGUCUUUCUCUCCUAGCUCAGGCUAAAGUGCAGUGGCACGAUCUUGGCUCACUGCAGUUUUCGCCUCCCAGGCUCAUGCGAUUCUCUUGCCUAAGCCUCCCUCCCGAGGAGCUGGGGUUACAGGAGCAUGCCACAAUGCGCAGCUAAUUUUUUUUUUUUUGUAGUUUUAGUAGAGAUGGAGAUUCACCAUGUUGGCCAUGCUGCUCUCAAACUCCUGACCUCGGGUGAUCUACCCGCCUUGGCCUUUCAAAGUGCUGGGAUUACAGGCUUGAGAAACCGUGCCCGGCUUUUAUUUUUUUAAAUUUUUUUAAGAGUGAGUCUCACUCUGUCUCCCAGGCUGGAGUGCAAUGGCAUGAUUUUGACUCACUGCAACUCCCACCUCCUGGGUUCAAGCAAUUCUGCCUCAGCCUCCUGAGUAGCUGGGACUACAGGUGUGUGCCACCAUGCCUGGGUAAUCUUUGCAUUUUUAGUAGAAAUGGGGUUUCACCAUGUUGGUCAGGCUGAUCUCGAACUCCUCACCUCAGGCAACCCACCCACCUUGACCUCCCAAAGUGCUGGGAUUACAGGCAUGAGCCAGUGCACCCAGGCCCAUGUAUUAUAUUAUGAGAGACAGUGAUAGUUGUGAUGAAUACUCUCACCUUUUAUUUUGGAAAGUCUUUAUUUUUAUCUUCUUUUUGAAGUAAAGUAAUUUUGAAUCGAGUAUUGUUAGAAAUUUUUUUUGUUACAUCAAAAUUGGGGAAGUUUUCAGUUUUUUUAAUCUUCGUGUAACCUCUAUAUUACUUUUUCCCUAUAUUCUAAGAUUUGUUUCAUGAAUACAUUGAUCUACUUCAUGGUAUCCAAUAAGUUUUAUAUUCUAUGUUUUACUUUUGUUCCACAAUUUUAUAUUUUUGUGUUAUAUAUAUUUUGGGUAUGCCACAUCACACCAGUUAAUUGUAUUUUAAUUUUUUAGUUUAUAUUAUAAUUGUAUAUGACAAUUUUUAACUCUGUACAAUUUAAGACAGUAUGGAGCAAAAUUAAAUAUGAAUAAGCCAUAUGUCUAUUGCCAAUAUAAUUAUUUAUAUGUUUGUUUGCCUGGAUAAAUAUUAUCUUUGUAUUUUUUGUCACUUGUAUAUUUAUUGUGUAGGUUUGCUGUAACAGUUUUUUUUUUUUUUUUGGAAGAGAGGUUUGCUCUUGUUGCUCAUGCUGGAGUACAAUGGUGUGACCUCAGCUCACUGCAACCUCCGCCUCCUGGGUUCAAGUGAUUCUCCUGCCUCAGCCUCCUGAGUAGCUGAGAUUACAGGCAUGCACCACCAUGCCCAGCGAAUUUUGUAUUUUUAGUAGAGACGGGGUUUCUCCAUGUUGGUCAGGCUGGUCUUGAACUCCUGACCUCAGGUGAUCUGCCUGCCUCAGCCUCCCAAUGUGCUGUGAUUAUAGGUGUGAGCCACCAUUCCCAGUCUGUAACAGUUUUUUAAUCCUGUCUAGGUGGUCUAUAAAGAAGAAUAUUGUAUGAGCUAUCGAGAAGGCUGUGUAUCCUGAUGUUGUUGAGGAGUGUUCUCUAUACCUUCAUUAGAAAUAAUUGUUUUUUACUGCCUUCUAGUCCUCUGUUCCAUUACUAAUAUUAUGUCUUGUUUUAUUAUUAUUACAGAAAGUGGGGUAUUGAAAUAUCCUACUAUAAUCAUAUUGCUCUCUCUGUAUUCAAUUUUGUUAGUAUUUGCUUGAUAUAAUUGAAACCCUAAUUUGAGACACACACAGAAAAAUACACACACGUGUAUAAACAAAUUUGUCAUAGGUUCCCAGUGAAUGAAUCUAUAUAUUGUUUAACGCCCUUCUUUGUCUUUUUGAAGUUUUGACUUAAAGUACAUUUUAUAAAAUAUGACAGUUUUUUUACUUAAGAUGUAGCUUGUGUAAUAUUAUUUUGACCUCUUCUGCUGUAAUUUGGUUAAUAUUUAUAUAAAAAUUCUACUUUUGUCUUGCAACUUUCAGUCUUUUCUUGUCAUUAGAUCUCAACUGACUCUUUAAAAAGGUAAGUUGAGUCUGAUUUUUAAAACUUUUUAAUGAACCUUUUUAUUGAAAUUAUGUCUCUUGAAUGGAAAGAUAAUUGUAUAUAUUUAAAUAGUUUUCUGAAAGAGAAAAACUUAGUUAUUUUAAUUGUUUUAUUUGAUUAUUGUAUCCUUGUGUGUCAUUUUCUCUGUCUUUUUGUGUUGUUUUGAUUUUUAUAUUGACAUGCUUUCAGUUUUCUCUUAUUGUUUUUUGUGUAUCCAUAUGGAUUUUUUUUAGUGGUAUCUUAGGGAAUUACCUAAAACCUCUAAAAGAUUCAACAAUAUAUUUUAAUGUAGUAAGAAAUUAGCUUCAGUUGCAUACAAAAAUUCUUAUUACAUCUGCCUUAAACUUUGUUACUGACUUUACUAAUUACAUUUUUUAUGUUGUAUAUUCAUGAACAGAUGCUUAUAAUUUCUAUACAUUUAUCUUUUAAAUUUUAAAGAAUAAUUAAAAAAGUUUUCUGUACCAUUAUGAUAAUGUUAAGUAAGAAAUUCUAUUUUUAUGUGUGUACAUAUCUUUCCCAGAAAUUUAUGUAUUUUCAUAUGAUUAUGUGUUGUUUUCUUGCAUUACGUUAUUUUCUGUAGAAGAAACUCCUUUCAGCGUUCUUGAUAUGUAGGACAUAUGCAGUGCCAAUAUAAUUCUCAAGAUUUGGUUAUUUUGGAAGAACUUCUUUCUAUUUGGUAGUACAAUUUUGCUCUUAUGGUAAUACUCCCAUUUGACAACUUAUUUUGAAAUUAUAAUUUUAAAAAUAUCACAGUUUCCUUCUGAUCUGCAAAAAUUUUUUUGAUAAAUUCACUGGUUAUCUGAUGAGACUAUGCUUAUAGAUUAUUAUUAUAUUUAUCUUGCAGCUUGCAAAAUUCUUAUCUGUGAUUUUUGAAAUUUUGCUUAUAUAUGUGUUUGUUAUAAAUAUAUGUUUGAGUGUAUCCUAGUUUGUUCAGCUUUUUCAUGUUUACCCCAUUUUUUCUUACUUUUAAGAAAUUUUUCAGUUUUUUUUACAUCCACUAUUUUCAUUUUCUGCUAUUUUAAUAUUUUUUGUGGUUAAUCUCAUUUUUCCGAUCUUCAGUAGUUGUCUGUGUUUCUAUAUAACUUCCUGGAUAUUAUUCAAUUUAUUUUAUUUAUUUAUUAUUCUUUUUUUUUUUUUUUUUCUGAGAUGGGGUCUCACCCUUUCACCCAAGCUGGAGUGCAGUUGUGUGAUCUCGGCUCACUGCAACCUCUGCCUCCUGGAUUCAUGCAAUUCUCCUGCCUCAGCCUCCUGAGGAACUGGGAUUACAGGCACCUGCCAGUAUGCCUGGCUAAUUUUUUGUGUUUUUAAAUGAGGUGGGUUUUCCCCAUGUUGGCUAGGCUGAUCUUGAAUUCCUGAUUUCAAAUGAACUGCCCAUCUCAGCCUCUCAAUGUGUUGGGAUUACAGGUGUGAGCCACCAUGCUUGGCCUAUUUUAUUUUAUUUUUGAGACAGAGUCUUGCUCUGUUGCCCAAGCUUUAGUGCAGUGGCACAUCUCCACUCACCGCAAACUUCCCUUCCUGGAUUCAAGCAAUUCUCCUGUGUCAGCAUCCCACGUAGCUAGGAUUACAGUCAGAUACCACCAGGCCCACUAAUGUUUGUAUUUUUAGUACAUACAGGGUUUCACCAUGUUGGCCAGGCUGGUCUCCAACUCCUGACCUGUGAUUCUACCACCUUGGCCUCCCAUUGUGUUGGGAUUACAGGAAUGAGCCUCCAAAUAUGGUCUGUUCAAUCUAUUUUGAAUUUUUAAAAUUACUUUAUACAUUUUUAAUGAUUGCUUUUGAAAAUUUUAUAAUUUUUUUGAUGGGGCAAUGUUGCCUUAAUAUUUUGUAUACAUUGUAAUCUUUGAUCGAUAUUUGAACAUUAACAAAAAGCCACCUGUUACAAUCUUUAUAAUAUAGCUCUGUCCUGGCAUAGUCUGAAAUCAAUUGUCUUGGCUAGAGAUUCUGGGAAUUUCUCAAACCUGUUUUUAGGAGGUGUCUUGUCUAAAAUUUUGUGUUUAUUGUUUAGUUAAAUCAGUUUAUUAAUAUUUCUUCUUAAUAAUCAGUAAUCACUUGCUACACCCAUUUCCUGUUUGGGGUACUGCAGUUUCUCUGCUUUUGUAACAUUUACCUUAAGCCUUGGCAGACUCAAACUGUCAUUCCAACAUAUAUCACCAUUUCUUUCAG